rnacentral:rRNA from 1 species
UACGUAGGCAGCAAGCGUUGUUCGGAGUUACUGGGCGUAAAGGGUGUGUAGGCGGCUUUUUAAGUUUGGUGUGAAAUCUCCCGGCUUAACCGGGAGGGUGCGCCGAAUACUGAGAGGCUAGAGUGCGGGAGAGGAGAGUGGAAUUCCUGGUGUAGCGGUGAAAUGCGUAGAUAUCAGGAGGAACACCGGCGGUGUAGACGGCUCUCUGGACCGUAACUGACGCUGAGACACGAAAGCGUGGGUAGCAAACAGG